rnacentral:rRNA from 1 species
ACGGAAGGCAGCAGUGGGGAAUAUUGGGCAAUGGGCGAAAGCCUGACCCAGUAACGCCGCGUGAAGGAAGAAGGUCUUCGGAUUGUAAACUUCUUUUAUCAGGGACGAAGGAAGUGACGGUACCUGAUGAAUAAGCCACGGCUAACUACGUGCCAGCAGCCGCGGUAAUACGUAGGUGGCAAGCGUUAUCCGGAUUUACUGGGUGUAAAGGGCGCGUAGGCGGGGAUGCAAGUCAGUUGUGAAAUCCAUGGGCCUAACCCAUGAACUGCAUUUGAAACUGUAUCUCUUGAGUGUCGGAGAGGUAGAUGGAAUUCCUAGUGCAGCGGUGAAAUGCGUAGAUAUUAGGAGGAACACCAGUGGCGAAGGCGAUCUACUGGACGAUAACUGACGCUGAGGCGCGAAAGCGUGGGGAGCAAACAGGAUUAGAUACCCUGGUA